UACGUAGGGCGCAAGCGUUGUCCGGAAUUAUUGGGCGUAAAGAGCUCGUAGGCGGUUUGUCGCGUCUGUCGUGAAAGCUUGGGGCUUAACCCCAAGUCUGCGGUGGAUACGGGCAGACUAGAGGCAGGUAGGGGAGAACGGAAUUCCCGGUGUAGCGGUGAAAUGCGCAGAUAUCGGGAGGAACACCGGUGGCGAAGGCGGUUCUCUGGGCCUGUACUGACGCUGAGGGGCGAAAGCGUGGGGAGCGAACAGG
rnacentral:rRNA from 1 species